rnacentral:rRNA from 1 species
UACGAAGGGGGGCUAGCGUUGCUCGGAAUCACUGGGCGUAAAGCGCACGUAGGCGGAUUGUUAAGUCAGGGGUGAAAUCCUGGAGCUCAACUCCAGAACUGCCUUUGAUACUGGCGAUCUCGAGUCCGGGAGAGGUGAGUGGAACUGCGAGUGUAGAGGUGAAAUUCGUAGAUAUUCGCAAGAACACCAGUGGCGAAGGCGGACUCACUGGCCCGGUCGCGACGCUGAGGUGCGAAAGCGUGGGGAGCAAACAGG